rnacentral:pre_miRNA from 3 species
UCUUAUGGAGGAGCAAAGAAAAUGGUUUCUUGAGAUGGAACCUACCCAUACUGAAGAUUCUGUGAA